rnacentral:rRNA from 1 species
CCUGGCUCAGGAUGAACGCUAGCUACAGGCUUAACACAUGCAAGUCGAGGGGCAGCAUGGUCUUAGCUUGCUAAGGCCGAUGGCGACCGGCGCACGGGUGAGUAACACGUAUCCAACCUGCCGUCUACUCUUGGACAGCCUUCUGAAAGGAAGAUUAAUACAAGAUGGCAUCAUGAGUCCGCAUGUUCACAUGAUUAAAGGUAUUCCGGUAGACGAUGGGGAUGCGUUCCAUUAGAUAGUAGGCGGGGUAACGGCCCACCUAGUCUUCGAUGGAUAGGGGUUCUGAGAGGAAGGUCCCCCACAUUGGAACUGAGACACGGUCCAAACUCCUACGGGAGGCAGCAGUGAGGAAUAUUGGUCAAUGGGCGAGAGCCUGAACCAGCCAAGUAGCGUGAAGGAUGACUGCCCUAUGGGUUGUAAACUUCUUUUAUAAAGGAAUAAAGUCGGGUAUGGAUACCCGUUUGCAUGUACUUUAUGAAUAAGGAUCGGCUAACUCCGUGCCAGCAGCCGCGGUAAUACGGAGGAUCCGAGCGUUAUCCGGAUUUAUUGGGUUUAAAGGGAGCGUAGAUGGAUGUUUAAGUCAGUUGUGAAAGUUUGCGGCUCAACCGUAAAAUUGCAGUUGAUACUGGAUAUCUUGAGUGCAGUUGAGGCAGGCGGAAUUCGUGGUGUAGCGGUGAAAUGCUUAGAUAUCACGAAGAACUCCGAUUGCGAAGGCAGCCUGCUAAGCUGCAACUGACAUUGAGGCUCGAAAGUGUGGGUAUCAAACAGGAUUAGAUACCCUGGUAGUCCACACGGUAAACGAUGAAUACUCGCUGUUUGCGAUAUACAGCAAGCGGCCAAGCGAAAGCGUUAAGUAUUCCACCUGGGGAGUACGCCGGCAACGGUGAAACUCAAAGGAAUUGACGGGGGCCCGCACAAGCGGAGGAACAUGUGGUUUAAUUCGAUGAUACGCGAGGAACCUUACCCGGGCUUAAAUUGCAGAUGAAUUACGGUGAAAGCCGUAAGCCGCAAGGCAUCUGUGAAGGUGCUGCAUGGUUGUCGUCAGCUCGUGCCGUGAGGUGUCGGCUUAAGUGCCAUAACGAGCGCAACCCUUGUUGUCAGUUACUAACAGGUUCCGCUGAGGACUCUGACAAGACUGCCAUCGUAAGAUGUGAGGAAGGUGGGGAUGACGUCAAAUCAGCACGGCCCUUACGUCCGGGGCUACACACGUGUUACAAUGGGGGGUACAGAGGGCCGCUACCACGCGAGUGGAUGCCAAUCCCAAAAACCUCUCUCAGUUCGGACUGGAGUCUGCAACCCGACUCCACGAAGCUGGAUUCGCUAGUAAUCGCGCAUCAGCCACGGCGCGGUGAAUACGUUCCCGGGCCUUGUACACACCGCCC